AUUGAACGCUAGCGGGAUGCUUUACACAUGCAAGUCGAACGAGUGGCGGACGGGUGAGUACUAUAUCGGAACGUGCCCAGUAGCGGGGGAUAACUACUAGAAAGAGUGGCUAAUACCGCAAACUAUUUGAGCGGCCGAUAUCGGAUUAGCGAGUUUGGGGGGGAAAGGCACACCAAGGAAACGAUCCGUAGCUGGUUUGAGAGGACGACCAGCCACAAUGGGACUGAGACACGGCCCAGACUCCUACGGGAGGCAGCAGUGGGGAAGUUUGGACAAUGGGGGAAACCCUGAUCAAGCCAUCCCGCGUGUAUGAGAAGGCCUUCGGGUUGUAAAGUACUUUUGGCAGAGAAGCGGUAUCGGCAGAAUAAGCACCGGCUAACUACGUGCCAGCAGCCGCGGUAAUAC
rnacentral:rRNA from 1 species